GGAUCCCUGGGGAGGGCUUGUGCCUCUUUAAGAGCAGCAGUGGGAGGUGAUAGAGGUCUGUACCACGGCACAAACGGGAGCUGAGCGCCCUGCUGUGCUCACCUGAGCCCUGCUGGGCCGGGGGACCCUGCCCUGCCCUCCCACGGGCGGCACAGCAGCUCCGGAGCGCAGGAUGGGCACCCAAAAACCAGCCCAGCCCGGGGACAGAGCCUGCAGCACAGCCCCAGGGCACUGAGGAGCACACAGGGAAGUGGCAGAGGAAUGACCUCAGCUCCCAGCAGCUGCCCAGGGUUACAAGGCACACUGAGGACGCUGCAGCAGCCUGACCCCUCCAGAAAACCAUUCCUGUAUGGCUGCUUGCACUGUCCUCUGCAAAAGUUGUGAUAUUGCAAUUCAAAAGUGAAUCUUUGCUAAGAAAAGGGGAGAAGAGAAGCAAUCCAUAAUCCAGGACACAUUUUUACAUUUUUGUACUCCUGGCAUGGAGGAAAUCCUGGUGGAAGCAGUCCUGGCCCCGUGGGCAAUCCUGCUGGUGAUUUUUGCUGCAGUGCUGGUGAUGAGUGUGCUGAUGCUGCUGCCCCCCGCUGCGGUGGUGCUCUGGAGGAUGAGGCGAGCGCCGCAGAUCUCGCUGCAGGGCUUGGUGUGAGCCAGCCCUGCUGCCCACCCGGGCCUGGAGCAUGGCUGUGACACCUCCCAGGAGCACUCCCACUCCCUGAGAUCCCCAAAAGCUGUGGGCCUACCACUCUGCUGCUGCUAAGCUCCUGUGAAAAGAGAACCUGUGUGAUUUUUCAUCAGGAGCUGCGGCUCUCAGCACCUUGCCUUCCAUUUCUUGGCUAGGCUGUUGCAAUGGUUUUGAAAGCAAAACCAGUGAGAGACUCCAAUUCAGAAAUACAAUUUAAUAGGAAAAAAGAGGAAAAUAAAAUACAUGCAAUAGCACAAAAGAAAAACCACUGACAGAGUCAGAAUACAGCCUGACGCCCUGCUAGUUUAGGUGGUGGUAGUAGUCUGGAUAAAGUGCUCCUGUUGAAGUAGUGAUCCUGUAGAAAGGUCUGGUAGCUCUUGUCCUCUGGAAACCAGUGGGUAAGGGCUGCUUUGGUGUUCCAAAUGUAAGUUUUUAUCCAGGUAGGAAAGUCUUGGCUCCUCCCCCUGGCUGGAGCAUCUCCCAGUGGGAUGAUGUAAUUUUAUCAGUCACACGGUGGGAUUCAAUGGGCCAUUUGCAGACAUUAACUUCCUGGAGGAAGGGUGGGUCAAGGGAAAGAUAAAUAUAACUGCUCCACCUGGUUUUAACAGCUGGCCCAUUAGCAAAGGAUAUCUCCCACAGAGAUGAGGAUCACUGCCCCACCUGGUUUCAGCAGAUGGUGAUAGAAUAUAUAAUUUGGGCAUAUCUCUACAUUUGUGAUUACUGUUGUUGGCUCAGUUCCUAGACUGAGUUCUUCUCUUGUGUUAUAAUGGAUUGAAAGAGAAGCAAGGCUAAUGCACCCUUAAUUAAUAUCAGGAAAGCCUCCCUCUCUAUAGUUACACUGUAAAUAUUACCAAAGCCUUCAGCUGACUGACAGGUGGACUUACCAAAGGUAUGCAGGAUACUCUGGGGAAGCAGUAGUUUAGUCUGGUUGUAUUGCAAAACCUUAAAAAAAAUAAAAUUUCAGAGAAUGUUUCAAUAAAUAAACCUCCCCCGCUUCUGUUGUUUGAUCUGAAAACUUAAUGGUUUAAAAUGUUUUUAAAAUCUUUCCUUCUGUAUGAAUUUUCCUCUCUCCCCAACCCCUAGUGCCAGAACAAAGCCUUUCCCAUCCUGGGGCUAGAGCAGGAGCACAAGGAAUGGUCCAAUGCUCAGGCAGGCCAGGCCAGACACCAAGAAUUUAAUGCAAACACACAGCAACCAUUUACAUGAAUUAAACUAUGCAAAUAUACUCUGGGAAAUAACACAAUUAAAUUUACUUUAGUUUUCAGCUGUGUCAUAUGGACUUAUUGAGUCAACUUCCUGUCUCAUAUAUAAAUAAGAACUCAGGUGGUGGGAAUAGAAUAAAACUUCUUCUCUGAAAGUUUUUGGAAAACACGCCAGCAACCCAAUCUCCAGCUUAAUAUCAUGACAGAUGGGGAUUAAAAUUUUCCAGCCUAAUUCUUCCACACUGUGUGACACUCACUAUGAGGAUUUCUGACCCACAAAUGAAACAGUUUCUGCUAGUUUACAGGCUUUAUCUCCUCAUGAAAUAAAAUAUGAGUGACUUUUCUUUUCUUUUGUUGGUUGGUUUGGAAAGCCACUAGAAUAGAUGAACAAAAUUGAGAAGACAAAAAUGGGUUUUUGCACCAGCAGAAAAAUUGCACUGCAGAGUACUCCAGAUAUUUUAUCUGAGCAUUGGUUGACAAUGAUUUUUCUGGAAAGGCUUAAAAACAAUAAUUUCAUUUGAUAGAGAUAAUUUGUUUGCCAGAAAUAAAUAAAUUUUUUAAAAACCCCAAAAACCCAGUGAUUCAUAACUCAUUGUUUUUCUUUAAGAUGACAGCACUUUUGUCUCCAACACAAUUACCUAAUUUAUUGCCACAUGGUUUAUAAGCAGCCAAAGCAGCCAACUCAUCCCUUUUCUGGUGUAAUUGUCUGCUCCACUCAUUGUUAUGUGACUAUCUGCUUCUGGGCCCUAAAGCAACUGGGAUUAUUUAUGGGGUUUUUUGCUUGUAAUGACUUGAUUCUGAGUCUGAAAUAUAAGUAUGUAAAUAUAUAUAUUUGAAUCAUU